CACACUUUGAAUUGAUUAGAAGAGAAGACGAGUUCUUGUUCUACAAAUGCCAGCAGUGGUAGCGUAGAAUCAAAGGGCGAAUUCGCAGACACAAAGAACAAAAUUUAGUGGACAGAUAGAGGCGUCAGAUCGUUGCGCUUCAUGUUGUUUUUCUCCUGGAUCACUCUACAAUUUCUUUCUGGAAAAUGGCUCUGAAGAAUCACAGAUAAGAACUGGCGCCAUCUUUGGCAGAAUCUUCCCUGAUCCAUCUAAAGCAGAAGAUGGCCUUCACAAGCUGAUCUUGUUGAAGGAUUGUGGAAUUUAUUCUGCAUUAGAACAUAUGUUAGAUGAAGGGGUUUUUGAGAAUUAUUUAAUAACAAGAUUUAUUAGCUAAGGACAUAAAGUCAUGGUUUUGACUUGAUCACUCCUGAAAUUCAACAAAGCAAAAAGGAAGAACUAUGCUUGGAUAGAAGUAUGUUUUGAUGACCUAUCCCAUGCCAAUACUUACAGCUCCAUAAGUCUUAAUCAUGUAGGAUGAUGGAAACAACGGACAGCAAUUAGUGGGACAGAAAAUAAGAUUAUGGUCGCCGCUUGAUAAUUGGUUAGCAUUUGCUUCUCUUAACUCUUAUUCUUAGAAAAUGGUUCAAUGACCUUUUGUGAUAGUCUUAAAUUUUGUUCUCAGCUAUUUCUCAGCGGAUG